rnacentral:rRNA from 1 species
UACGUAGGGGGCAAGCGUUGUCCGGAUUUAUUGGGCGUAAAGAGCGUGUAGGCGGCCAAACAGGUCAGCUGUGAAAACUCGAGGCUCAACCUCGAGACGUCGGUUGAAACCGUUUGGCUAGAGUCCGGAAGAGGAGAGUGGAAUUCCCGGUGUAGCGGUGAAAUGCGCAGAUAUCGGGAAGAACACCCGUGGCGAAGGCGGCUCUCUGGGACGGUACUGAACGCGUGAGACGC